rnacentral:rRNA from 1 species
CCUACGGGUGGCUGCAGUGAGGAAUAUUGGUCAAUGGCCGGAAGGCUGAACCAGCCAAGCCGCGUGAAGGACGAAUGUGCCAAGCAUUGUAAACUUCUUUUGUCAGGGGACAAAAUCAGGCUCGAGAGCCUGACCGAGGGUACUUGAAGAAAAAGCAUCGGCUAACUCCGUGCCAGCAGCCGCGGUAAUACGGAGGAUGCGAGCGUUAUCCGGAUUUAUUGGGUUUAAAGGGUGCGUAGGCGGGGUGUUAAGUCAGCGGUAAAAGCCCGGGGCUCAACCCCUGCGAGCCGUUGAAACUGGUUGUCUUGAGAUGGCGAGAGGUAUGCGGAAUGCGUGGUGUAGCGGUGAAAUGCUUAGAUAUGGCGCAGAACUCCGAUUGCGAAGGCAGCAUACCGGCGGCGAACUGACGCUGAGGCACGAAAGCGUGGGUAUCGAACAGGAUUAGAUACCCUAGUAGUC